rnacentral:rRNA from 1 species
UACAGAGGGGGCAAGCGUUGUUCGGAAUUACUGGGCGUAAAGGGCGCGUAGGCGGCCUUUCUAAGUCGAACGUGAAAUCCCCGGGCUCAACCCGGGAACUGCGUCCGAUACUGGAAGGCUUGAAUCCGGGAGAGGGAUGCGGAAUUCCAGGUGUAGCGGUGAAAUGCGUAGAUAUCUGGAAGGAACACCGGUGGCGAAGGCGGCAUCCUGGACCGGUAUUGACGCUGAGGCGCGGAAAGCCAGGGGAGCCAAAGC